CCAGAAUUUGGUGAUUGUUGUGAGUAGCAAAUAGUUAUAACCAGAAGAGGCCCCUCCGGAAUGCCAGAGCAGAUAAGCCCAGCAGUUCAGCUUCCAGUCACUGCUUUCCCUUUAAUGGUUUGACAACCAAUCCACAGCAAGGUUGGUCUUUCCCAGCAGACAAAUAUAUAAAUCUCCUUUGUGAGAUCCGACAGAAAGUGGGAACAAGCACCUCCAAGGGGAUUUAUGUAACACACUGCAGAUGCAUUGUCCAUCCGCAGCAUAAUGCAACAGUUGCACCUUCCCUUUUCCAAACUGUUCAAGGAAUUGAUUUGCAUAGAG